rnacentral:tRNA from 4 species
GGCUGGUUGGUCAGAGAGGUUAUGCGGAUGGUUGCAACCCAUCAUAUGGCGGUUCGAGUCCGUCACCAGCCUCCA